rnacentral:sRNA from 1 species
ACUGGGUUAUAGUGAAUUCCGCUUGCACUGACUCAAGCUGGCUUUCUUAGAACACCCUGAACACCCUUCUUCUCGGCACCUCUCUGAAUCCUCUGCGUCACCUGCAUGCAACACUCUACACAAUUAUGCUUUUGAGGAUUUCAAAAUGAAUACAGGUACUGUUAAAUGGUUUAACGAGGCCAAGGGUUUCGGCUUUAUCUCUCCAAGCGACGGCAGCGACGACGUGUUCGUACACUUCAGCGCCAUUACCGGCAAUGGCUUCAAGACCUUGGCCGAAGGCCAGACUGUCAACUACGAAGUGGAAAAAGGCCCCAAAGGCCUGCAAGCUGCGCAAGUUCAGCCGCAAGUUUGAUUGGCCAUUAGCCAUCAGAUAAGCAGACCCCCGCUGUCACAGCGGGGGUCUUUUU